rnacentral:rRNA from 1 species
CCUACGGGUGGCUGCAGUGAGGAAUCUUGGUCAAUGGGCGAGAGCCUGAACCAGCCAAGUCGCGUGAGGGAAGACGGCCCUACGGGUUGUAAACCUCUUUUGCCGGUGAGCAACGUGCGCCACGUGUGGCGCCACUGAGAGUACCCGGAGAAAAAGCAUCGGCUAACUCCGUGCCAGCAGCCGCGGUAAUACGGAGGAUGCGCGCGUUAUCCGGAUUUAUUGGGGUUAAAUGGGGCGUAGGCGGAGCGUUAAGUCAGUGGUCAAAUUGAGGGGCUCAACCCCUUCCCGCCAUUGAAACUGGCGCUCUUGAGUGGAAGAGAGGUAUGCGGAAUGCGUGGUGUAGCGCUGAAAUGCAUAGAUAUCACGCAGAACCCCGAUUGCGAAGGCAGCAUGCCGGCUUCCGACUGACGCUGAAGCACGAAAGCGUGGGGAUCGAACAGGAUUAGAUACCCUUGUAGUC